AACGAACGCUGGCGGCAUGCCUAACACAUGCAAGUCGAACGAAACCUUCGGGUCUAGUGGCGCACGGGUGCGUAACGCGUGGGAACCUGCCUUUAGGUUCGGAAUAACUCAGAGAAAUUUGAGCUAAUACCGGAUGAUGUCUUCGGACCAAAGAUUUAUCGCCUUUGGAUGGGCCCGCGUUGGAUUAGCUAGUUGGUGGGGUAAAGGCCUACCAAGGCGACGAUCCAUAGCUGGUCUGAGAGGAUGAUCAGCCACACUGGGACUGAGACACGGCCCAGACUCCUACGGGAGGCAGCAGUGGGGAAUAUUGGACAAUGGGCGAAAGUCUGAUCAAGCAAUGCCGCGGGAGUGAUGAAGGCCUUAGGGUUGUAAAGCUCUUUUACCCGAGAUGAUAAUGACAGUAUCGGGAGAAUAAGCUCCGGCUAACUCCGUG
rnacentral:rRNA from 1 species